rnacentral:rRNA from 1 species
UACGGGAGGCAGCAGUGGGGAAUAUUGGACAAUGGGCGAAAGCCUGAUCCAGCCAUGCCGCGUGAGUGAUGAAGGCCCUAGGGUUGUAAAGCUCUUUCAGCGAGGAGGAUAAUGACGUUACUCGCAGAAGAAGCCCCGGCUAACUUCGUGCCAGCAGCCGCGGUAAUA